rnacentral:rRNA from 1 species
UACGUAGGGGGCAAGCGUUGUCCGGAUUUAUUGGGCGUAAAGAGCGUGUAGGCGGUUUGGUAGGUCCGCUGUGAAAACUCGAGGCUCAACCUCGAGACGCCGGUGGAAACCGUCUGGCUAGAGUCCGGAAGAGGAGAGUGGAAUUCCUGGUGUAGCGGUGAAAUGCGCAGAUAUCAGGAAGAACACCCGUGGCUAAGGCGGCUCUCUAGUACGGUACUGACGCUGAGACGCGAAAGCGUGGGGAGCGAACAGG